AAUGGGUCAGCGACUUAUAUUCUGUAGCAAGGUUAACCGAAUAGGGGAGCCGAAGGGAAACCGAGUCUUAACUGGGCGUUAAGUUGCAGGGUAUAGACCCGAAACCCGGUGAUCUAGCCAUGGGCAGGUUGAAGGUUGGGUAACACUAACUGGAGGACCGAACCGACUAAUGUUGAAAAAUUAGCGGAUGACUUGUGGCUGGGGGUGAAAGGCCAAUCAAACCGGGAGAUAGCUGGUUCUCCCCGAAAGCUAUUUAGGUAGCGCCUCGUGAAUUCAUCUCCGGGGGUAGAGCACUGUUUCGGCAAGGGGGUCAUCCCGACUUACCAACCCGAUGCAAACUGCGAAUACCGGAGAAUGUUAUCACGGGAGACACACGGCGGGUGCUAACGUCCGUCGUGAAGAGGGAAACAACCCAGACCGCCAGCUAAGGUCCCAAAGUCAUGGUUAAGUGGGAAACGAUGUGGGAAGGCCCAGACAGCCAGGAUGUUGGCUUAGAAGCAGCCAUCAUUUAAAGAAAGCGUAAUAGCUCACUGGUCGAGUCGGCCUGCGCGGAAGAUGUAACGGGGCUAAACCAUGCACCGAAGCUGCGGCAGCGACACUAUGUGUUGUUGGGUAGGGGAGCGUUCUGUAAGCCUGCGAAGGUGGCCUGUGAGGGUUGCUGGAGGUAUCAGAAGUGCGAAUGCUGACAUAAGUAACGAUAAAGCGGGUGAAAAGCCCGCUCGCCGGAAGACCAA
rnacentral:rRNA from 1 species